rnacentral:rRNA from 1 species
CCCGCUGAACUUAAGCAUAUCCAUAAGCGGAGGAAAAGAAACUAACAAGGAUUCCCCUAGUAACGGCGAGUGAAGCGGGAAGAGCUCAAGCUUAAAAUCUCCGUGCAAGUUUUGCGCGGCGAAUUGUAGUCUAUAGAGGCGUGGUCAGCGUGGGCGCUUGGGGCAAGUUCCUUGGAAGAGGACAGCAUGGAGGGUGAUACUCCCGUUCAUCCCUGAGUGGCUCGUGCGUACGACCCGUGUUCUUUGAGUCGCGUUGUUUGGGAAUGCAGCGCAAAGUAGGUGGUAAAUUCCAUCUAAAGCUAAAUAUUGGUGCGAGACCGAUAGCGAACAAGUACCGUGAGGGAAAGAUGAAAAGAACUUUGAAAAGAGAGUUAAAGAGUACCUGAAACUGCUGAAAGGGAACCGAAUCGUUUCCAGUGUCUAUAAUCCGUGGCAUAUUUCAUUGGCGAGUGUGCGCGUGCGUGUGCUGUGGCAGUGGCUUUUUUGGCUGCGCUCGGUGUGUGUGCUGUGUGUGCUUGCUGGUGCCCUGUGCUGCGGUGGGACGUCAAGGUCAGUUCGUAUGCUGCGGGAAAUGGCUGCCGAGGAGGUAGGGCUUACGCUCCGCGUUUGUCUGUUAUAUCUUGGUGGACGAGUCGUCGCGGUUGGGACUGAGGUGCCUACAACGUGCUUUUGAGUGGGUUUGUGUCUCCGUGUGCGCCGUGUGCGGAUAGCUUGCUAUGCGUGUGUGGUUGUGUGUGGAUUGAUGCGGGCUUUAACUUGUCGCCGUUCGGGACGUUGACGAAAUGGAGCGAUCCGACCCGUCUUGAAACACGGACCAAGGAGUCUAACAUGUGUGCAAGUGUUAGGGUGUGGAAACCCCAGCGCGAAAUGAAAGUGAAGGGCAGCGCAAGUUGUCUGAGGUAGGAAACGUUGCGGGCUUCGGUCUGCGGCGUGGCACUAUCGACCGAUCAUGAACCUUCGUGGUGAAAGAUUUGAGUUUGAGCACAUAUGUUGGUACCCGAAAGAUGGUGAACUAUGCCUGAGUAGGGUGAAGCCAGGGGAAACUCUGGUGGAAGCUCGUAGCGAUUCUGACGUGCAAAUCGAUCGUCAAACUUGGGUAUAGGGGCGAAAGACUAAUCGAACCAUCUAGUAGCUGGUUCCCUCCGAAAUUUCCCUCAGGAUAGCAGCAACUUAUUUACGAUAGUUUUAUGAGGUAAAGCGAAUGAUUAGAGGAUUCGGGGAAGAAACUUCCUCGACCUAUUCUCAAACUUUAAAUCUGUAAGACCUGCAGGUUUCUUAAUUGAACUUGUGGAUGUGAAUAUCAAGUUGCUAGUGGGCCAUACGGGGUAAGCUCGUCUGGCG